CCUACGGGGGGCAGCAGUGGGGAAUAUUGGACAAUAGGGGCAACCCUGAUCCAGCCAUGCCGCGUGUGUGAAGAAGGCCCUCGGGUUGUAAAGCACUUUCAGUGAGGAAGAACGCCUGGUGGUUAAUACCCAUCAGGAAAGACAUCACUCACAGAAGAAGCACCGGCUAACUCCGUGCCAGCAGCCGCGGUAAUACGGAGGGUGCGAGCGUUAAUCGGAAUUACUGGGCGUAAAGCGCGCGUAGGUGGCUUGAUAAGCCGGUUGUGAAAGCCCCGGGCUCAACCUGGGAACGGCAUCCGGAACUGUCAAGCUAGAGUGCAGGAGAGGAAGGUAGAAUUCCCGGUGUAGCGGUGAAAUGCGUAGAGAUCGGGAGGAAUACCAGUGGCGAAGGCGGCCUUCUGGACUGACACUGACACUGAGGUGCGAAAGCGUGGGUAGCAAACAGGAUUAGAUACCCCUGUAGUC
rnacentral:rRNA from 1 species